rnacentral:rRNA from 1 species
AAUCUUGCGCAAUGGACGAAAGUCUGACGCAGCGACGCCGCGUGAGGGACGAAGGNCUNNGGGUCNUNAACCUCUGUCCUUGGNNNNNAUAAUGACGGUACCCAAGGAGGAAGCCCCGGCUAACUACGUGCCAGCAGCCGCGGUAAUACGUAGGGGGCGAGCGUUGUCCGGAAUUAUUGGGCGUAAAGGGUGCGUAGGCGGCAUGGCAAGUCCUGUGUGAAAGGUCGCGGCUUAACCGCGGUGGGUCAUGGGAAACUGCCAGGCUAGAGUGCCGGAGAGGAUAGCGGAAUUCCACGUGUAGCGGUGAAAUGCGUAGAUAUGUGGAGGAACACCCGUGGCGAAGGCGGCUAUCUGGAAGGUAACUGACGCUGAGGCACGACAGCUGGGGGAGCGAAC